UACAGAGGGUGCGAGCGUUGUCCGGAAUCAUUGGGCGUAAAGGGCGCGUAGGUGGCCCGGUCAGUUCGUGGUGAAAGCGCGGGGCUCAACCCUGCGUCGGCCAUGAAUACUGCCGCGGCUGGAGCACUGUAGAGGCAGGCGGAAUUCCGGGUGUAGCGGUGAAAUGCGUAGAGAUGUGGAGGAACACCAGUAGUGAGCGAGCGCCCUGGGUACGACUGACGCUGAGACGAGAACGUGGGGAGCAAACAGG
rnacentral:rRNA from 1 species